CUACGGGGAUGAGCUGCGGGAACUCUCUCUUUCUGAAGCUUCCGUGGAGAAACCCUUUACCAGAUUCUGAGUAGC
rnacentral:snoRNA from 1 species